rnacentral:rRNA from 1 species
GACGAACGCUGGCGGCGUGCUUAACACAUGCAAGUCGAACGGUGAAGGGACCGGUUUUUGCUGGUUCUGGAUGAGUGGCGAACGGGUGAGUAACACGUGAGUAACCUGCCCCCUUCUUCUGGAUAACCGCAUGAAAGUGUGGCUAAUACGGGAUAUUCUGCGCCUGCUGCAUGGUGGGUGUGGGAAAGAUAUUGUUUCGGUGGGGGUUGGGCUCGCGGCCUAUCAGCUUGUUGGUGGGGUGAUGGCCUACCAAGGCGGUGACGGGUAGCCGGCCUGAGAGGGUGGACGGUCACACUGGGACUGAGACACGGCCCAGACUCCUACGGGAGGCAGCAGUGGGGAAUAUUGCACAAUGGGCGCAAGCCUGAUGCAGCGACGCCGCGUGAGGGAUGGAGGCCUGCGGGUUGUAAACCUCUUUCGCCAGUGAAGCAGGCCUGUCCCUUGUGUGGGUGGGUUGACGGUAGCUGGAGAAGAAGCGCCGGCUAACUACGUG